rnacentral:rRNA from 1 species
GACGAACGCUGGCGGCGUGCCUAAUACAUGCAAGUCGAGCGAAUCUUGAGGUGCUUGCACCUCUUGAUUAGCGGCGGACGGGUGAGUAACACGUGGGCAACCUGCCAGUAAGACUGGGAUAACUUCGGGAAACCGGAGCUAAUACCGGAUAAUUCUUUCCCUCUCAUGAGGGAAAGCUGAAAGACGGUUUCGGCUGUCACUUACAGAUGGGCCCGCGGCGCAUUAGCUAGUUGGUGAGGUAACGGCUCACCAAGGCGACGAUGCGUAGCCGACCUGAGAGGGUGAUCGGCAACACUGGGACUGAGACACGGCCCAGACUCCUACGGGAGGCAGCAGUAGGGAAUCUUCCGCAAUGGGCGAAAGUCUGACGGAGCAACGCCGCGUGCGCGAUGAAGGCCUUCGGGUCGUAAAGCUCUGUUGUUAGGGAAGAACAAGUAUCGGAGUAACUGCCGGUACCUUGACGGUACCUAACCAGAAAGCCACGGCUAACUACGUGCCAGCAGCCGCCGCAGUAA